CGCACGGAUCUUUCGGGAUUAGUGGCGGACGGGUGAGUAACGCGUAGGGAUCUAUCCAUGGGUGGGGGACAACUCCGGGAAACUGGAGCUAAUACCGCAUGAUACCUGAGGGUCAAAGGCGCAAGUCGCCUGUGGAGGAACCUGCGUUCGAUUAGCUAGUUGGUGGGGUAAAGGCCUACCAAGGCGAUGAUCGAUAGCUGGUUUGAGAGGAUGAUCAGCCACACUGGGACUGAGACACGGCCCAGACUCCUACGGGAGGCAGCAGUGGGGAAUAUUGGACAAUGGGCGCAAGCCUGAUCCAGCAAUGCCGCGUGUGUGAAGAAGGUCUUCGGAUUGUAAAGCACUUUCGACGGGGACGAUGAUGACGGUACCCGUAGAAGAAGCCCCGGCUAACUUCGUGCCAGCAGCCGCGGUAAUACGAAGGGGGCUAGCGUUGCUCGGAAUGACUGGGCGUAAAGGGCGCGUAGGCGGUUGAUGCAGUCAGAUGUGAAAUCCCCGGGCUUAACCUGGGAACUGCAUUUGAGACGCAUUGACUAGAGUUCGAGAGAGGGUUGUGGAAUUCCCAGUGUAGAGGUGAAAUUCGUAGAUAUUGGGAAGAACACCGGUGGCGAAGGCGGCAACCUGGCUCGAUACUGAC
rnacentral:rRNA from 1 species